AUGGUUAAGUGACUAAGCGUACACGGUGGAUGCCUUGGCAGUCAGAGGCGAUGAAAGACGUAGUAACUUGCGAUAAGCCCAGAUUAGGUAGUAACAACCAUUUGAGUCUGGGAUUUCUGAAUGGGGAAACCCAACUGCAUAAGCAGUUACUGUUAACUGAAUACAUAGGUUAACAGGGCGAACCGGGGGAACUGAAACAUCUAAGUACCCCGAGGAAAAGAAAUCAACCGAGAUUCCGAAAGUAGCGGCGAGCGAAAUUGGACUAGCCCUUAAGCUUUUAAUGAGACAGGUGAA
rnacentral:rRNA from 1 species